GAGUUUGACCAGACUGCAGGAGGACAGGAAGACUGGAGUGCCUGGAACAGGCUUGCCCCUCACUGCCUCAUGGAGCCCAGCCGAGGCUGCCGGGAGCUGAUGCUGGUUCCAGGGUUCGGAAGCAGGGUGGGGCAGCCCUGCUCCACAAGCUGACAUAGCCUAGCCCUACCCUUCACCACCCCACACUCAGCUGAUCUGAGAUUCCUGGAUCCUGGGAUCUACCGUGCAAAAUGGGAGCCUCUGCAAUUAGCUGGCGGCCAAAACAAACCUGAACUGUUCGAGUAGUGACCACGAUUGCCUACUGGGAGCCCCUGAAUGCCUGCUAUCAAUUACCCUUGAUUGACUCUGAAGUCACUGGGAUCUCUCAGCCAGCAAAGGAUUGCUACA